UACGAGGGGGGCGAGCGUUGUUCGGAAUUAUUGGGCGUAAAGGGUGCGUAGGCGGUUUGGUAAGUCUGAUGUGAAAGUCCAGGGCGCAACCCUGGAAUGCCGGUGGAAACUGUCAAGCUUGAGUCCGGAAGAGGCGAGUGGAAUUCCUGGUGUAGCGGUGAAAUGCGCAGAUAUCAGGAGGAAUACCAAUGGCGAAGGCAGCUCGCUGGGACGGUACUGACGCUGAGACGCGAAAGCGUGGGGAGCAAACAGG
rnacentral:rRNA from 1 species